UACGGGGGGGGCAAGCGUUGUUCGGAAUUACUGGGCGUAAAGGCUCGUAGGCGGCCAACUAAGUCAGACGUGAAAUCCCUCGGCUUAACCGGGGAACUGCAUCUGAUACUGGAUGGCUUGAGUUCGGGAGAGGGAUGCGGAAUUCCAGGUGUAGCGGUGAAAUGCGUAGAUAUCUGGAGGAACACCGGUGGCGAAGGCGGCAUCCUGGACCGACACUGACGCUGAGGAGCGAAAGCCAGGG
rnacentral:rRNA from 1 species